rnacentral:rRNA from 1 species
AGUGAACGCUGGCGGCAUGCCUUACACAUGCAAGUCGAACGGCAGCACGGGAGUAAUCCUGGUGGCGAGUGGCGAACGGGUGAGUAAUAUAUCGGAACGUGCCCAGUCGUGGGGGAUAACGUAGCGAAAGUUACGCUAAUACCGCAUACGAUCUAUGGAUGAAAGCGGGGGAUCGCAAGACCUCGCGCGAUUGGAGCGGCCGAUAUCAGAUUAGGUAGUUGGUGGGGUAAAGGCUCACCAAGCCGACGAUCUGUAGCUGGUCUGAGAGGACGACCAGCCACACUGGGACUGAGACACGGCCCAGACUCCUACGGGAGGCAGCAGUGGGGAAUUUUGGACAAUGGGCGAAAGCCUGAUCCAGCCAUGCCGCGUGCAGGAUGAAGGCCUUCGGGUUGUAAACUGCUUUUGUACGGAACGAAAAGGUUCGCCCUAAUACGGCGGGCUCAUGACGGUACCGUAAGAAUAAGCACCGGCUAACUACGUGCCAGCAGCCGCGGUAAUACGUAGGGUGCAAGCGUUAAUCGGAAUUACUGGGCGUAAAGCGUGCGCAGGCGGUUAUGUAAGACAGAUGUGAAAUCCCCGGGCUCAACCUGGGAACUGCAUUAGUGACUGCAUAGCUGGAGUACGGCAGAGGGGGAUGGAAUUCCGCGUGUAGCAGUGAAAUGCGUAGAUAUGCGGAGGAACACCGAUGGCGAAGGCAAUCCCCUGGGCCUGUACUGACGCUCAUGCACGAAAGCGUGGGGAGCAAACA